GACUUGAGCGAUCCCAGCAUCGACGAAUAUGCGUUUCGCCUUUUACUAAACGCAUCCGUGCUGGGGGACACUUACAAUGAGCCUAAAUGGCAAUUUUUGGAGCCCCUAUAAGGGGCC
rnacentral:snRNA from 1 species